rnacentral:lncRNA from 1 species
ACUUAAUCCACUUGUUGACAAAACUUGACCAUAAGCACUUGAAUCAUAUCUCUCCAAAGCAUUCUCACCAGCAAGUUCACCACCUGCAAUCUUUGUUGCCAUUCUCACUUGAUUUACCAAUCCUUCUGGUGAACAAUUUGCAUCACAAGGUUGUUCAUUAUCCUUCAUUUCCAUGCAUGUGAAAUUCAAUAUAACUCCAUGUUUUGCUAGCAUUUGUGCUAUUGGUAUAUAACCAUCAUGAAACUUUGUGUUAUAGUAACCUGCAGUUAAUUCAGUUGCAUGUGAUCUUGCAUUGUAAUGCCAAUGAAUUCCAGCUAUUUUGGCAGAUAGUUUCACUCCACUUGUUUGGAAUAUGCUUUUAGCUGAUACAAGAAUUUUCUCACCAUGUUCAACAAGCUUGCUUGAGUACCAAUCAAGGAAGAAAUCUCCAUAUUCUGUGUUCCAUGUUCCUUCUCUUUUGAAAAAUCCAGUAUCCUCAGGAAAUUGAUUGUAUUGUCCUGAGUCAUGGGGUCCACUUGUUCCCCACUCUUUCUUCCCAAUUGCUCCUGCUGUUGCUUCCAAGGAUGAUCUCAUAUACUGUUUGGCAAAUAUGUCAUUUUAGUUUAGUUGUUUUCAAAAGAAAUUGAUUAAGUUACAUAUUCAAACUUUUAUUAAUAUUUAGUUUAUCUUUUUUUUUUUUUUUUUGAGAGAAUGUCUUUGGCAUAUUUGAAAUUAUUAAUAUUAAAAGACAUCUCAAAUGUGACAUAGCAACAAAAUAUCUAGAUACUAAUAUAAUAUUCUCUUUUGUACCAAAAAAAAAUUCUCUGAACUCUGUUUCAAUUAAGAUAUUUUGCAAUCAAAGGUUUAAUUAUUGAGAAAAUCUUGUGUGGUCCAUUUGAGCACAGCAAUUAGACACACACAGAAAAGUUAAAAGGUAGGAAAAGAAAGAAAAUAAAUAAAGUAAAAUAUUUUAAAUGAUUAAAUUAAAUGAUGUAUAAUUUUAUGUGUGUACAAAAAAAUUAUAUUUAGGAUUGUAAUCAACUAAGUAUUUCUCCUGGUUAUAACAAAAUAUGUCUAAUACUAAUAUUAUUUUGGACUAUUUAUUCUAAAAAUUGAUGUCUUUUUAAGUUUGUACCUUGUCAUAGCACUGGAAUUCUCCAAUUCCUGGAAACUUCCAAGUUCCAUCAGUUUCAGGGUAUGAUGGAUAUCUCAACUCCCCACAUGGACCUAGCCCCACUUGAAUUUCCUGCAAAUGAAUUUGUUCUUAAUUAGAAUUUUAUACAUUGCAAUAUAUGCAUCAAGUCAUAGUUUUUCAUCAAUCACAAAAAUAUAAAAAAUAAAAAGUGUCUCUGUCAAAAAGAUGAUAAUCACAAAUGUCUCCAAUAAGUAUUCCUCUUACAACUAACUAUCUUCCUUAAUAUGGAAAAAUUGAAUUAUGAGUCAUACAUGUCUGUUUUCUCCUAUACUAUUUUUAUCAAAAUUAACAUUGAUUAGGUCAUUAUCUAAGAUAUUAUGUUAAGGAUGAUCAUGAAUUUCUACUUCUGAGACCGACGAUAUAUAGCGCCUGUUAAAAUUUUGAACAAAUGUGUGGCUGAAAAUAAAACUAACCACUAUACAAAAAUCUUAGCCAAGUAUCUAAAUUACUCUGUAACCUCAAAAUUGAUGAAGUACUUACUAUGAUAACAUUGCCCAAAUAAUCUGUGAACCUAUCACGGAAGCUUCUCAUAUAAUCGGAGUAGACUUGAAGUGGAGUUCUUCCUGCUAGAACAGGCACUGAAUCACAUCCCAAUGAGAUGUAUUCUGGAUUUCUUCUUCCUAAUUUGUCUGUGUAAACCAACUCAGGGUUCUUCCUGAUUUCUUCUAGCACCCAUGGUGGUAGAGGAAUGCUAUAAAAUGCAAUACAAACCAAAUUAGUCUUUGAUUUUUUUUAUUUUUGGUCUAGUUGAAUAUUUUGUUUAACAAGAGUGAUAGAUAUUUCCAUACCUGCAAGAGUCACCAACAUUUCCACCACAUUGAUGAAAAGACAUAACAAUUUGAAGCUUCAAACCAUGUUUUUGUACCAUCUGAACAAGUUCAGCAUAAGCUUCCCAAUUAUACUUCAUUGGACCAUCUUUUUCGACCAAACCCCACCAAGCAUCAACCAUUACUCCUUCAACACCAGCACUCUUCAAAGCCAUCAAACUAGCAUUCAUUGCUCUUGCUUUAUUCAAUUUUCCUCCCAUUGUUACCGUGUCUAAUGGCAACAUCACAAACACCGGUACUCUAUUCGAAUCACCAUCGUGGUUAUGAGUGACCGAUGACGUGUGAAUCUUCUCCCAUUUCUUGUCUUUCUUUACAGCAGAAUUGUUGUUGUCUGUUGUGAAAUGAGUUUCUUGUAUUGAACUCUUUGCUUUGAGUUUGUGACCAAUAGAUGGUUUCAUUUUUGGACAAGAAACUUUGUUGGAAAAAAAAUCAUCAAGAGAUUUUAAGACUCUUGUUUCUUUCUGAUUAAUCAAGGAAAUUGAAAAACGAAGUGUUUGAGCCAUUUUUAGUGCUAUCUCUGAUUAUGUUUUUUUUACUACUAGUGUGUUAUUUCUGUUUGCAAUUAAAGAUUGGAGGGAGAGAAUAUAUAUAGAACUAAAGAGUUUGUUUAAUUUUUGCAUUAAGUAUUUUAUUUAUUUAUAAAAAAAAAACAUAGUAGAUAUUUUUAGGAAAGUUGAAGUUGAGAACCUUGGUGGGUCCAAGUUGAAAAGUGAAAAUUGUGCAAAAGGAUCAAAAUCUCGUCGGUACCAUGCUUACGUGUUACCAAAACAAAAAACAUGUCGACUAUGGCUUCACUUUUUAACCGUUACCCACUAAAUAAAUAGUUAACUGUCUUGAUAUUUAUAAGGAGAGCCGAGAGGAAAUCAACAACGUUACUAUGUCUUUUUCAAAAAAAGUAAAUUAUGGGGCUUAGCUUAAAUUGAUGGUGUACCCAAUUAAAAAGGAAUCUUUAGGGAUCCCUUGUUCCUCACGGUUGGUUUAUUAUUUCAAAAUAAAUAAAUAAAUAAUAAUCUGAGAUUUUGAAGAAUUGUAAAUAUCCCUUUAAGGUGAGGGAAUUUAAGAAGCAUUAUUAUGUGGCAAAACUUAAAAUUGCAAUCAUCCUUUUUUCCUACGGUUGGUUUGUUGUAUGAGAGGGAACUGCCGUAUCUAGCGACAUAAAAUAAUUAACCAAUACCAAAACAUAGUUUUGUGGAGUUCAUGGAGGUUGAUGGAAAAAAGAUGGCGGUUAACAAUAAAUAUAUACAUCGGGAUUUAUUCAUGAGACUGUGUCUCACUAUAAAUAUCAUUUCCCUAUUUAAAAAUAAAUAAAUAUUGAGAUUUUUAUGGAAGUGUAAGAUCCAAUUAAAAUUAAAUUAGAGUCUAUAGAUCCUUAUCCUACUCACCCAUUGUUUAUAUCCACCCAUUGCAAAAAAACUUUAAACAUCACGUAUAGUAAAGUCUGAAACUAGCAUCAAUAAAUAAUGUCACUUCAACCAAAUUUAUGAUUUUUUUUUAGAGUGACUAUCAAAUUACGAACGGGAAAAACACCAAGGGUCAAAGUUGCUCAAAUAAAAGUGUGUGUGAGUGGGGUAAAAGGUUUCAAAAUUGCACAAUUGUGAUACUUGGAUGUUUAAAAGUGCAAUUGGGUCUACUACUUUUUAUGAUUCAAACAUAAUCAAUCAUUACUAUUCAAUAAUGUUAAUUUUAGUUUUUUUUUUUGGUAUAAUGGAAGCAAUGUGGUUUGAACCUAAGAUCUCAUGCGUGCUACCCAAACUUCUCACCACUGCAUCAAUUCUAGGGGUUUAAUUUUUAGUAUAUUAAUUAAUAGAAUUUUUUAUAUUAACCAAAAAAGGAUCUAAACUAAACCACAUUUGAUUGGGUUUGAUAAGGUUUUUUUUUAUUUUUUUAUUUUUUUUUAUUUUUUUUAAAGCAGACAUCCAAACUUAUAUGUACCCGAUGUGAGUUUCAUCUUUAGAUAGGAUUAUUUUUAGGAAAAUUCUAUGGUACACCUAUACAUUUGAGUGCACCGGUACACCAAAUCGUUAAAUUAAUAAUUAAAUAAGUUGUUUUUUUUUAAAAAGAAUUGUUUUUUUAUCAUUGACAAUUGUAAUAAUUAAAUUGUAUUUACCAAAAGCGUCGAAGAAAUAAAAUUUACUUUUUUUGAAUUUUUAUUACUCAUAACAAAGAAUAUUGAUUAUUUUUUAUGAGAAAAUGUUAAAAAUUUAAUACAAUUUUAAUAAACAAUGAAAUGAUGUUUUUUCUUAUAAAAUGAUGUUUCUAAAAUAUAAAUACUGAUAAAUAACUCUUUAUUUCAUAAAAUGAUCGUUAAAUUAUAAAUUUUUGAACCAGGAGUACCGAUACACCUCACUUUUGUGAGGUGUACCGUAGAAGUUCCCUACAAUUAAACUGAUAUAUUUUAUUGGAAAAAUAACCAUAUAUUUUUGGAAAUAAAUAAAUAAAUAAAACUCUUAUAAAAGAGAUCGUUGUUUACUUUACCACUUUAUGGAAAAUCAGGCCCCUUCUCAUGUGAACUAGAGGAUUAAGACUGGGGUUGUUCGCGGUGAAAAUUGAAUCAAUUUUGAGGUUAAAAAUAAUCCUAAUAAAAUAUAUCAGUUUAAUUAUAAUUAUGGUCCUCAUAAUUUGACUCGCUCGCAGAAUUGACCGUCCUUUUAAAAUCUCCAAGUUUUGGUCUCUCCCUCAACUUUUUGGACUACAAAUAGGAAUGUGGGAUGAUCAACACUCAUGAAAUUGCAAGAAAAUUGCUAAAAACUCCCGUUUCAAUUUUAGAAAUAAUUCAUUUUUGUAAUUUAAAUAAUAUAUAAAUAAUAAAUCUACCUAGAUGAUUUUAUAUCAUCAUAUCAUAUUUCACUUCAUAUAAUGUCACGUUAUCAUCUUUUGAGUCUAGAAAUUUGAAUAAAAAACUAAAACUGAGAGAUUUUAACAUGCAGAGAUUUUUGUUUCUAGAAAUGUUGCACACCAUGAAUGCAUUUUUUCCUAGUAAUCUAGUACAUCUAUUGUUCCACUUCCAUGGGAGUGCCAUAGAAAUAUCAGCCAAAACCUGAAUCUAAUGUCAUUAUGAAUCCAUUUCCAACACUGAAAAAGUGAAACUGUAUCCCCUACACAAAGUAACUCCUCUUCUUGUGAUUUUAAUUCUGACAAUUCUUUUUCUUCAACUACAUUACCCAUUUUACAUAAAUCCACAAGAAUUAAGUCUCCACCAACUUAUUUGGCAGAUUAUGUGUGUAAUAAUAAUUCUUCUUCUCGAUCACCAGAAUCUACCAACUCAGGUAUUCCCUGCCCUAAUGCAUCUUUUCGCCCAUUUGAUCAUUUAUCUCCAUCACAUAUAUCAUUUUCUAUUUCUGUCACAAAAAGUACUAAGCCUAAAACUUAUAGAGAAGCAUGUCAGUCUAAACAUUGGUUAGAAUCUAUGAAUGUUGAAUUGGAAGCUUUAGCUAAGAAUGGUUCUUGGUAGUAAGUGGGUGUAUAAGGUAAAGCACAAAGCAAAUGGUUCUAUUGAAAGAUAUAAAGCAAGAUUAGUAUGUGUUGAUUAUAGAAGAUCAACUACAGGUUUUUGCUUCCUUUUAGAAUCUUCUCUCAUAUCAUGACUGCUAAGAAACAACGGACAAUAUCAAGAUCAUCUUAAGAGGAUGAGUAUAGAACAUUGUUUACUGCUACUAUAUCUUCUAAAGAAUUUUAACAUCAAAUGCACCAGACAACAUGUCUUGUACUGUGACAGCCAGAGUGCAAUUCACAUAGCUUUUAAUCCAAUUUUUUAUGAAAGGACAAAGCACUUAGAGAUAGACUUCCACUUGGUUAGAGAGAAAAUUCAAAAAGGAAUGCCCAAGCUUCUACCUAUUUCUACUGAUGAAGAGCUAGCAGAUUUCCUAACAAAAGCAUCACCUCCUCCAAAAUUCAAUUCAUUCAUUUCCAAGCUUGGUAUAUUAAACAUUUAUCAUACUCCAGCUUGUGGGAGGCUGCUAAAGCAUAACACAAAAUCAUUGGAAGCUAGUUUAUUGUAUAGUGAAGAAGAAUAGCACCAUACACAUCAGUAACUUGCGCCGCAAGCAAUUGGACCUUAAGACUGUUUUAGACUUAGCAAAUCAAUUGUAACUACUUUGCUUAUGUUUAUGGAAGUUAGUUAUGAUUGAGUGAGAUGAAGAUCACAAUAGCUUAUCUUGAUCUCUCACUGAAAUGUGUAAUUGCUUCUAUUGCAAGUAAAUGUGAAAUAGUGGUUUAUUGAACCAAUUCUCUUACCUUUUCUCUUGUUUUCAAUUGUUUUAUCUCAUUUUCAACCAAUUCUCUAUUACCUCAACAACAACCACACUGAAGGAGGCGUGAGAUUCUCCUUUGAAGUACUACAUUAGUGGCGAGAAGGUGAAUAUAGUGAAACUCCAGCCUCUUAGGUGACCAUUUAAGUUGUUACUAACAAGGCCACAAAGAAGGUUUCUACUUAUUUCACUCAAGUGCUUGACUAGAGGAGCACAAGUGGAGAAGCUAUAACCGAUCGGAUGAUUGUAGAGAAAAUCAUCUGAAGUUUGCCUAGAGAAUAUGAUCACGUUGUUGCGGCCAUUGGAGAGUAAAAAAUUUUGGAGGAUAUGAAGAGCUCCAAAGCUCUUUGAAAUCACAUGAAAAGGGUUUAGGAUUUUACAAAAAGAUCCGCUUCAAGAACUGGAGACCAAGCCUUGCGUGUACUUAUGUCAAAGCGAGGUGGUGAUGAGAACAGUAAAGGAAAAAGGAACAAAUGGAAGGAAAUGAAUUCCAAUAAAAAGGAGUAAAAAUCAAAGGAAGUAACUCAUACAAGGCUGAUCGAGAUUAAACUGAAUGUCCCUCCAAGAACGGUUGCUUGAAUAGGGGUGGAAGGUUCAAUGUUUCAAAUGCAACAUGUUUGGUCAUUUUGUUGAUAGAUGUUAAAACAGCAAGAAUCAACAAAGCAAACCAGAUAAAGAAGCAGAAAUGGCACAUGAAGAAGACUGAUUCCGAUUGAAUGAUAUUAACAUGAUAAUCGUAAAUAUAACAAACAUAUAUCAUAGAAAUGUGCAGCUGAGAUUGGACUGACAGGAGAGUAUGAGAGUGGUACUGUGGUAGUAUAGUGAAGACUUUUUAAGGUCUUUUUUAGGCAAAGAAAUAAAAUGUGAAUGCGUUAAUGAUUGGAAUUAUUUGGAAGCUUGAAACAAACAAAUGGAAAACAUUAAUUUCUGGAAUUAAAUGUGCAGUACUUAUGGAACUUUUAUUUAAAAGAAAUAAAAUGAUUGAUGAUCUCAUGUUUUUUUGUGUGUCAAUUAUGCCAUUUUUAUUUCCUAUAUACCAAUCAUAAUUCUAUUAUUCUCACUAAAAUUCAUAUUGGAAAAAACGCAAAUUCAACAUCAAAAAUAGAAAAUGUCUAAAAAAGUUUAUAAAGAGUUGCAUUUUUCACUUAGAUAUAACAUUAUAAUCUAUCUAUUCUAGACACCCACCAAUUUAUCUACGCACACCAAGCUCAAUAAUGUUGGUAGUGAGGGCCGGAGUGUACCGAAAAACCCAACAAAUAUAUAUAAAAAAAUAAAUAAAAAAAACUAGUAUAUCAAUAUACUUUUUAACGUAACUUUACACAUGACCCAUCAACAUGAUGAAAUAUGUGUUCAAUGUUCACACAAGAGCAAUCUCUAUUAUAACUUCACUCUCCUUAAUUCCUUUAAUGUGUCCAACAUAAAGAUCAGUCCCAUAUGAAUCAGAUUUUGAAAGCCUUGGUUUACCACCAUCAGACAUACUCACAACAAAGUCCACAAAUUGCCUCCAAUUUUCACCCUCAAGCAACCUCUUAUUUAUUCUUAAAUAAGUAAAAGCACUUAAUCCACUUGUAGACAAAACUUGACCAUAAGCACUUGAAUCAUAUCUCUCCAAUGCAUUCUCACCAGCAAGUUCACCACCUGCAAUCUUUGUUGCCAUCUUCACUUGAUUCACCAAUCCUUCUGGUGAACAAUUAGCAUGGCCAGGUUGUUCAUUAUCCUUCAUUUCCAUGCAUGUGAAAUUCAAUAUAACUCCAUGUUUUGCUAGCAUUUGUGCUAUUGGUAUAUAACCAUCAUGAAACCUUGUGUUAUAGUAACCUGCAGUUAAUUCAGUUGCAUGUGAUCUUGCAUUGUAAUGCCAAUGAAUUCCAGCUAUUUUGGCAGAUAGUUUCACUCCACUUGUUUGGAAUAUGC